rnacentral:snRNA from 1 species
AGCAUCUAACCGAGGCAAUGACGCAGCUAAUGAGGUAUUAACCGAGACGCGUCUAUUAAUGGUUGAAAAGUAUUUCCAAAAUCCCUUUUAGGUUUGGGGUCUUCUCAGCCAUUGAGAAUUUCUGGAAGGACUCCGGUGUG